rnacentral:rRNA from 1 species
ACGGAAGGCAGCAGUGGGGAAUAUUGCACAAUGGGGGAAACCCUGAUGCAGCGACGCCGCGUGAGCGAUGAAGUAUUUCGGUAUGUAAAGCUCUAUCAGCAGGGAAGAAAAUGACGGUACCUGACUAAGAAGCUCCGGCUAAAUACGUGCCAGCAGCCGCGGUAAUACGUAUGGAGCAAGCGUUAUCCGGAUUUACUGGGUGUAAAGGGAGCGUAGGCGGAAGGCUAAGUCUGAUGUGAAAACCCAGGGCUCAACCUUGGGACUGCAUUGGAAACUGGUUUUCUAGAGUGUCGGAGGGGUAAGUGGAAUUCCUAGUGUAGCGGUGAAAUGCGUAGAUAUUAGGAGGAACACCAGUGGCGAAGGCGGCUUACUGGGCGACAACUGACGCUGAGGCUCGAAAGCGUGGGGAGCAAACAGGAUUAGAUACCCUGGUA